UUGGAGAGUUAGAUCUUGGCUCAGAUUGAACGCUGGCGGCAGGCCUAACACAUGCAAGUCGAACGGUAGCGGGAAGAAGCUUGCUUCUUUGCCGACGAGUGGCGGACAGGUGAGUAAUGUCUGGGAAACUGCCCGAUGGAGGGGGAUAACUACUGGAAACGGUAGCUAAUACCGCAUAACGUCUACGGACCAAAGUGGGGGACCUUCGGGCCUUACACCAUCGGAUGUGCCCAGAUGGGAUUAGCUAGUAGGUGGGGUAACGGCUCACCUAGGCGACGAUCCCUAGCUGGUCUGAGAGGAUGACCAGCCACACUGGAACUGAGACACGGUCCAGACUCCUACGGGAGGCAGCAGUGGGGAAUAUUGCACAAUGGGCGCAAGCCUGAUGCAGCCAUGCCGCGUGUAUGAAGAAGGCCUUCGGGUUGUAAAGUACUUUCAGCGGGGAGGAAGGGUGAGAGGUUAAUAACCUCUUGCAUUGACGUUACCCGCAGAAGAAGCACCGGCUAACUCCGUGCCAGCAGCCGCGGUAAUACGGAGGGUGCAAGUGUUAAUCGGAAUUACUGGGCGUAAAGCGCACGCAGGCGGUCUGUCAAGUCGGAUGUGAAAUCCCCGGGCUCAACCCGGGAACUGCAUUCGAAACUGGCAGACUGGAGUCUUGUAGAGGGGGGUAGAAUUCCAGGUGUAGCGGUGAAAUGCGUAGAGAUCUGGAGGAAUACCGGUGGCGAAGGCGGCCCCCUGGACAAAGACUGACGCUCAGGUGCGAAAGCGUGGGGGGCAAACAGGAUUAGAUACCCUGGUAGUCCACGCCGUAAACGAUGUCGACUUGGAGGCUGUUCCCUUGAGGAGUGGCUUCCGGAGCUAACGCGUUAAGUCGACCGCCUGGGGAGUACGGCCGCAAGGUUAAAACUCAAAUGAAUUGACGGGGGCCCGCACAAGCGGUGGAGCAUGUGGUUUAAUUCGAUGCAACGCGAAGAACCUUACCUGGCCUUGACAUCCACGGAAUUCUGCAGAGAUGCGGAAGNNCNUUCGGGACCCGUGAGACAGGUGCUGCAUGGCUGUCGUCAGCUCGUGUUGUGAAAUGUUGGGUUAAGUCCCGCAACGAGCGCAACCCUUAUCCUUUGUUGCCAGCGAUUCGGUCGGGAACUCAAAGGAGACUGCCGGUGAUAAACCGGAGGAAGGUGGGGAUGACGUCAAGUCAUCAUGGCCCUUACGGCCAGGGCUACACACGUGCUACAAUGGCGCAUACAAAGAGAAGCGACCUCGCGAGAGCAAGCGGACCUCAUAAAGUGCGUCGUAGUCCGGAUCGGAGUCUGCAACUCGACUCCGUGAAGUCGGAAUCGCUAGUAAUCGUAGAUCAGAAUGCUACGGUGAAUACGUUCCCGGGCCUUGUACACACCGCCCGUCACACCAUGGGAGUGGGUUGCAAAAGAAGUAGGUAGCUUAACCUUCGGGAGGGCGCUUACCACUUUGUGAUUCAUGACUGGGGUGAAGUCGUAACAAGGUAACCGUAGGGGAACCUGCGGUUGGAUCACCUCCUUACCUGAAGAUACCUUCCGGCGCAGUGUCCACACAGAUUGUCUGAUAGAAGUCACGAGCAAAGAACACCAGAGUCCCCAUCGUCUAGAGGCCCAGGACACUGCCCUUUCACGGCUGUAACAGGGGUUCGAAUCCCCUUGGGGACGCCAUACCGGUAACGAAGUGAAAGACGUUAUCAACCGUAUCUCAAAACUGAUUCCAUCUUAACGGUGAGUCACGUUUGAGAUAUUUGCUCUUUAAUAAUCCGGAACAAGCUGAAAAUUGAAACGACGUGUCGUGUUCAUUCUCCGUAAUAAGAAUGAAGUAAACGAUGCGUUCGAGUCUCUCAAAUGCUUACAAUCGACACACGUCUUUCGGGACGCUUGUGGGUUGUGAGGUUAAGCGACUAAGCGUACACGGUGGAUGA
rnacentral:sRNA from 1 species